UGCGUAGGCGGAUCAAUAAGUCAGUGGUGAAAUCUCUCGGCUCAACCGGGAAACUGCCAUUGAUACUGUUGAUCUUGAGUUCGGUUGAGGUAGGCGGAAUGUGUAAUGUAGCGGCGAAAUGCUUAGAUAUUACACAGAACACCAAUUGCGUAGGCAGCUUACUAGACCGACACUGACGCUGAGGCACGAAAGCGUGGGGAGCGAACAGGAUUAGAUACCCUGGUAGUCC
rnacentral:rRNA from 1 species